rnacentral:rRNA from 1 species
AUGGACGAAAGUCUGACGGAGCAACGCCGCGUGAGCGAUGAAGGUCUUCGGAUCGUAAAGCUCUGUUGUUAGGGAAGAACAAGUACAAGAGUAACUGCUUGUACCUUGACGGUACCUAACCAGAAAGCCACGGCUAACUACGUGCCAGCAGCCGCGGUAAUACGUAGGUGGCAAGCGUUGUCCGGAAUUAUUGGGCGUAAAGCGCGCGCAGGCGGUCCUUUAAGUCUGAUGUGAAAGCCCACGGCUUAACCGUGGAGGGUCAUUGGAAACUGGGGGACUUGAGUACAGAAGAGGAGAGUGGAAUUCCACGUGUAGCGGUGAAAUGCGUAGAGAUGUGGAGGAACACCAGUGGCGAAGGCGACUCUCUGGUCUGUAACUGACGCUGAGGCGCGAAAGCAUGGGUAGCGAACAGGAUUAGAUACCCUGGUAGUCCAUGCCGUAAACGAUGAGUGCUAGGUGUUAGGGGGUUUCCGCCCCUUAGUGCUGAAGUUAACGCAUUAAGCACUCCGCCUGGGGAGUACGGCCGCAAGGCUGAAACUCAAAAGAAUUGACGGGGGCCCGCACAAGCGGUGGAGCAUGUGGUUUAAUUCGAAGCAACCG